CAACGUGGAUGCUUUGUCCCAAAUUACUACGUGAUUUGACAUCAUUUUCGAGCCCAAAUCAUGUCAUUUUGGUAUCCAAUCAUCUUCCCUUUUUUGGCUGUUUUAAUGAAUUAACUUUGGUUUCCUACUAUUUUUAUCUUACAUGAAUUCAAAUUGGGUCAUGAUUAUUGCAUUCUAGGUGAGCGGUUGAGUUAGUAUUUUUAUAGACUGGAAUUUUUUAUUUUACUAUUUUUGAAAAGUUUCAUGAAGUAGCUGUGUGUAGGAUUUAUGUAAAAGUUAUAAUUUUUUAUGAUUUAUGAUUUUAAUUCUCUAUGCAUAUACUUCCUCUUCGCUUGGUGGUCGGAACAAGAAUCCCAGGGAAAGGGAGAAUUUGUACGCGGCAGAAGAAAGCGCACAAAGCCUUUUCUGCAAAAGCGUUGAUUACUUCAGGUCCUAUGGGACCGAGCUUAAAGCAAGUUGCGGCUUGUGGAUAAGCUGAUUUUCAGUUUGAAAAUUGUCGGUCUCUCAGGUUGAUUGUCCUGGUGUUGCUCUCUAUUGUGCAUCGAAAGUCCUCAGAUUUUCUUUGCUUCGGGUGCAGGGUUGUCUUUGCCAUUUUGUAUCAUUGUUAUUCCUCAGUGUAUAUAUAUAUAAAAAGUUCUAUAUACUCUGUGAAA